rnacentral:rRNA from 1 species
GAUGAACGCUGGCGGCGUGCCUAAUACAUGCCAGUCGAGCGAACGGACGAGAAGCUUGCUUCUCUGAUGUUAGCGGCGGACGGGUGAGUAACACGUGGAUAACCUACCUAUAAGACUGGGAUAACUUCGGGAAACCGUAGCUAAUACCGGAUAAUAUUUUGAACCGCAUGGUUCAAAAGUGAAAGACGGUCUUGCUGUCACUUAUAGAUGGAUCCGCGCUGCAUUAGCUAGUUGGUAAGGUAACGGCUUACCAAGGCAACGAUGCAUAGCCGACCUGAGAGGGUGAUCGGCCACACUGGAACUGAGACACGGUCCAGACUCCUACGGGAGGCAGCAGUAGGGAAUCUUCCGCAAUGGGCGAAAGCCUGACGGAGCAACGCCGCGUGAGUGAUGAAGGUCUUCGGAUCGUAAAACUCUGUUAUUAGGGAAGAACAUAUGUGUAAGUAACUGCGCACAUCUUGACGGUACCUAAUCAGAAAGCCACGGCUAACUACGUG